rnacentral:sRNA from 1 species
UGACGUCAAGUCAUCAUGCCCCUUACACCCUGGGCUACACACGUACUACAAUGCUACGGACAAAGGGCAGCAAACUCGCGAGAGCUAGCAAAUCCCAUAAACCGUGGCUCAGUUCAGAUCGUAGGCUGCAACUCGCCUACGUGAAGUAGGAAUCGCUAGUAAUCGCAGGUCAGCAUACUGCGGUGAAUACGUUCCCGGGCCUUGUACACACCGCCCGUCACACCAUGGAAGUUGGCCAUGCCCGAAGUCGUUACUCCAACCCUUGUGGAGGAGGACGCCGAAGGUGGGGCUAAUGACUGGGGUGAAGUCGUAACAAGGUAGCCGUACCGGAAGGUGCGGCUGGAUCACCUCCUAACAGGGAGACAACAAAAUGUUUAAUAUUAUUAUUUUGUCACCUUAGGUCGAUCGGUAUCUCGCAUUUUUAAUUUAUUAAAAAUUUCAAUUCCUAAGUUUUUCUAGGUCACACCCAUUAUUUUUCCUGGGCCAUUAGCUCAGGUGGUUAGAGCGCACCCCUGAUAAGGGUGAGGUCCCUGGUUCAAGUCCAGGAUGGCCCAUAUCUCUAUGUUGGGGGUAUAGCUCAGUUGGUAGAGCGCCUGCUUUGCAAGCAGGAUGUCAGCGGUUCGAGUCCGCUUACCUCCACUGAUUACCACCUCUUCCAUAAUCUGUAGAAAAGGAAAAUUUUGAGUUGUGAUCAAAUUCUGAACGAAUCUAGCUUCCUAAUAAAACCAUUAAGAUGCUGGACUCAUUGAAUUAAUUUCAUUGUUUUCAGAGAACCUUGACAACUGCAUAGAUUAUUUUUAAAGACAAUAAGCAUCUUUAAUGAUGCAGAUUUAUUAUUUGUGCGAAUGCAUUAAUAACAAUUCUAUUAAGCUGAUGCUUCAAUUUUGAAGUUAUCGGUCAAGCUACAAAGGGCUCACGGAGGAUACCUAGGCACACAGAGGCGAUGAAGGACGUGGUUACCUGCGAUAAGUCUCGGGGAGUGGAAGC